GGAAAUAUCCCUCUGCAGUGAGAACUGCCCUGCCCCCAGCCAGGGAAACAAGUGUGGAAAAGCCAAUGGUCAUCAACCAGUCAGUCCCUAGUCCAGGAUGAGGGCCCAGAUUCCAGGCUGGGAAGGAAGCUGGCAGUGAGGAGCAUUUGGAUGGAUCCCACCAUAGGGAUCAGUUGUGAUACAAAGGACAUGGUCCAGGUCUGCAGAUAGGUUAGCAAGAUAUUUGAGAGCAACAGGAAACUGCUCUACUCUGUGACCUUGCUGGGAAGCUGAAUGAGCUGGGGCGACGUGUCUCCCACGAGGGAGGAUGGUGGCCUGUGCCGACAGCAGCAGGUCCUGCCUGAAGCCUGGAGCACAAGCUCCAUACUGACUUCUACACAUCAGUGUCUGGCACCCAGUAAGUCCCUACUUGUGUCUCCAAGACAGCUUCUGCUUACCUCAUCAUACACUUGCAUUACCUGCAGCCCCUGUCUCCCUUCAAACAUUCAAUCUCUGUUCCAUGCUGGGAGCAGCAAGGAAAGACUGCUUCCAGAGGGGUGGGAAGCCAGGCAGCAAGGGCUUGAAGUCCACAGGGUGAAGUCCACAGGACCUGAGGAAGACUUUGUAGUAAAGAACAAAAGAAACUCAUACGCCAAAUCAUGAAGCCAAGAUUCAGAUAAGGAAAGGUUGAAGGACUGCAGAAAAAAUUAAAAAGUUGCAAAA